rnacentral:rRNA from 1 species
AGAAUCAACGCUGGCGGCGUGCCUAACACAUGCAAGUCGAACGAGAAAGUGGAGCAAUCCAUGAGUAAAGUGGCGCACGGGUGAGUAACACGUGACUAACCUACCCUUGAGUGGGGAAUAACUGAGGGAAACCUUAGCUAAUACCGCAUAAUACCUACGGGUCAAAGGAGCAAUUCGCUUAAGGAGGGGGUCGCGGCAGAUUAGCUAGUUGGCGGGGUAAUGGCCCACCAAGGCAGUGAUCUGUA